CCCCCCCGCAAAACAAAACACCUUCCCGGAUCGCAGACCUUUGCAACCUUUCUUAUUAGAAGUCAAGAGAUUUACACCCACAAUUACUGCACAGCGCUGUUACAAUAAAGGGGGGACCUUUCCGUCCCUGUCCGCCCCCCCCCCCUUACAAGCAGCCCACGGGAUACAUAAUUAGGGUCCGGAGCAUUUGUGCAAUAACUCAGCGACCUUCCUCCAAGGUUUGUUGCCUUCUCGCUCUGGCUUGGGGGGGGGGGUGUCAGAGAAACAGGAGAGAAAGUGAUCCUUAAGCUCUGUAAUCUAGAGAUCUCACUUCCACUGGAGCAAGAUCACGUCCUGUCUGCCUGUCUGUCUGCCACUCUUUCUCCCCGCCCAGGUCUCCUGCCCGGCCCAAUGAUCGGCUGGGCACCUUUUAAAAAAAAAUGCACAGGCAUUCAGAUGUGUUUGUGAGGGAUGGGGGGGGGGUAUCCUGGGUGAGGAGGUUGCUCACUUGUUUGUGCGCCCCCCCCCCUUGCUCCCCGCUUUCGUGUCAAGCUGGAUAAAAAGGACCAACCCACUAGGGCCGAUUCCAAACCCGGGACCCGCCAGGCUGACCCAAGACGUGACCGGAGACAUACCGGAUUUUCUGAGUGUGUUGACCGUGAUUUCCCGAGAGGGUUUGCCUCACUUUAUGGACGCACACCUUGUUUGGGGCCACUGAAGCGCAUUUAAAAAACAAGAUAGAUUUGGCCGGGUUCUGGAAAAGGCGCUAGCCUGCCAAACCGGUUUACCGGAAGGGAAACCAAAGCAGGCAGCCACACCAGGAAAAAGCGUUCAACUCUGUGGGGGAGAACACCCAGCCACCCUUUGGUUAGAAGGGUUCCCCAUCACCACCAACAAUACUUCUGGUAUGGUGUGUCUUCCAAAUCAGCCCGGACAGCAACCGCAGUUGGGACAAGUCCUGUGUGAGUUGCAGGAACGGCCCACCCCGAGGGCCUGAAUCCAGCCCACAGCCUAUAUUCCCCCCACCCACCCCAUACAGCCAGAUAUGCCUGCCAUCAGCCCCCACCCCCUACAUACAUCUGGAUCCUCUCUGGCUUUCUGUUAUGAUCUUCCUAGUCCCCAAUUCAGAAGCAUUGCAAACAAGUGGGCCAACCGAAGAUCAACAGCGGAUGCCAUUAUCUUUCUGUUUGUGUAUCCCGUUGGCAACAGCCCUGGAAUCAGGAAGGGGGGGGGCACAGAUAGAGGGCACAGGCAGAACUGUAUGGGGCUGGGGUGUGUGUGUGUGUGGAAAUAGCAUGAGUGGAAGAGAGACAGACAAUAUGGGAAAGGCACAAAAGGGACCAUGCAUGGACAGAGAAUGGGAUGGAAAUGUAUGGGUGAGAGGCAAAAGAAUAGGAUGCAUAUGGCACAAUACAGGACAAGUGGAUGAAUAUGUAUGGGGCAGAGGAGGAAAGGAAAUGAGGGGGGAGGGGGGAACCCCGGUGCUGAUGGGAUAGAAAGAGUGAAAUUAUUUGAUUCCGUCGCGCACACGGUGUGGAGGUCAGGAAUUAACCGCUGCACGCGUUGAAGUGGGGGUGUCGGUGUGUUGUUUCGCAGCUCUCUUCCUGCCUCUCUCUCUCUCCUUCUUCCCCUAUCUCUAGGUCACCGCAAGAUGAAACGUGUGGCACACACAAACACACGGCGUGCGCACCAACCGCCGAGCCCGUCCUGGUCGAUGUUUCCCCGAGAUUCUAACAAAAGCCAACCUGGGCCUUGACGACUAGUUUGAGGCGAGGGUUUGAUCUUGCCCGAAGAAAUCCUCUUCCCGACGGGAAGCUGCUGAAAGGGGGUUACGUAGGUGCGGCCUGCGUUUCAGCGCUGGGUGAAAAAGGAAGGUCAGCCGCUGCUAAUCAUGAGCCAAGGCUGAAAAGGGAGGCCGAAGCCACUGCCAGCCCGCCCAUCAAACAAGCGCCAAGAAAAAGGUGUCAGGGGGGCCUUUGCCACAAGAGAAGCACGAACCGGCUCUUGCGUCCCCCCCACCUCUGAGUUUGAUAACGACUCUGUCCCACUUUUUCACCUACGUUCUCCGCAUUCAACUGUGAUGCUUUGCAGAUCAGAGGGUGUUCUCGGCGGCAAACGACCUUCGACCUUCGUUGCACAGCCAACCCCAAGGGCUGGUUCGGCUUCCUUGUCCCAACCGAAAUACCAGAACCGUGCGGCCCGUUACAGUGGGAUAACCCUGACGUGUCUUUUCCCGUCCACACCCCUUUCAGCGAGGGGAAGGGGAACGAUUUCUAGUAGGAUUUAUUUUUGUGCCGUUAAGUUGUUCCCAGAUUCUUGAGAACUGGAAAGUAAAAUCAAAUUAAAAGAAGAAAUCAAAGCAAACAAGGAAAGAAGAACACAAGAGGGUAUUCCUUUGUUGCAGCUGAACACUCACAGGAGGUGACUUCACAGAAUGGAAGGUAGGAAGUUGAGAUUUUGAAAAAGAUCGCUGUGGUGGAAGAACGGCAGCAAUGCACACUGAGGUUUUCCUGCAGAAGGAACACUUGGGGGUAAGGCUUCAGCAAUUAGGGGAACAUCUGGCACGGUCUAGUGUGCUCCAUCUCACCCACGAGCAACAAGCUCGGCUGCCUUCGGAGAACAAUCCUUCCUCGUGGGGAGGAACCAACCUGAAUUUCCCCACUUCCCUCUCGCGGAGCAAACAGCCGGACCAAGUGUCGGGAGCGCCGGGAGAUUUUGCUGCGGCAAUCUGCGUCGCCAACAAUGGAAAUGGCACGGUUGUUGCUUCACGCGCGCAAAGUGUCCGACAGAACAAUAAAGGCCAUUUCGACAAAAAAAA